GUCCACGCCGUAACGAUGAAUACUAGGUGUCGGGUGGCAAAGCCAUUCGGUGCCGUCGCAAACGCAGUAAGUAUUCCACCUGGGGAGUACGUUCGCAAGAAUGAACUCAAAGGAAUUGACGGGACCCGCACAAGCGGUGGAGCAUGUGGUUAAUUCGAAGCAACGCGAAGACCUUACCAAGUCUUGACAUCCGCCUGACCGAUCCUUAACCGGAUCUUUCCUUCGGGACAGGCGAGACAGGUGGUGCAUGGUUGUCGU
rnacentral:rRNA from 1 species